CUAGCAGGCACAAUAGCACAUUAUUCCUGAAGGAGCUAUGGUUUGAAAUUUCUGAAUGGGCUUACCAUCAGUCUCAGCUGGCAGCCUACUCAGCAUGCACAGGCAGGUAAACUCUUCAAAUACACUUCUUUUUCAGUAUGGAGACUGUUCCUGGUAUUUCUAUAUUCAUCAAAAAACAAGCAAGCUGUUAUAGAGGCAGUGCACCCCAUGCAGUGAGAGUGGUCUCGCCAAGCUUCUUUCCCAGGACCCACCUCAGCAGCAUCUCAACAUCAAGGUGCCCUAAGCUUUGAACUGUGUCGGUAUCUUCUGAAGGCAACCUAUAACCCAAGAGUCUCUAUCUUUCAGCUGUGUGUAGGAGUAAAGAGGUUAAUCUAUUUACAUGUAUUUAUACUGAUAUAUUUAACCCUCAUUUCUUUUGUUUUCUUGCUUUUUAGUGGCAUUUUUAAUUAAUUGUAUAUAUAUAUUACAUACACUACUAAUUUGAAUAUUAUAUACUCUACUUUUAUUGCGAAUUCGUAUUCUAAAAAAAUAACAUGCACGUUUAAUUUAUAAAAUAAAAAACAAUCAAUGCCUACUUUUUUCUUCA
rnacentral:lncRNA from 1 species